rnacentral:rRNA from 1 species
UACGGAGGGUGCGAGCGUUAUCCGGAUUUACUGGGUUUAAAGGGUGUGUAGGCGGGCUAUUAAGUCAGCGGUGAAAUCUUCGGGCUCAACCCGGAAACUGCCAUUGAUACUAUUAGUCUUGAAUACUGUGGAGGUAUGCGGAAUGUGUCAUGUAGCGGUGAAAUGCUUAGAGAUGACACAGAACACCGAUUGCGAAGGCAGCGUACUACACAGUGAUUGACACUGAGGCACGAAAGCGUGGGGAUCAAACAGG